GAGUUGGCUAGACAAUCGCUGCCGUGUAAGCGGGAGAGGAAAGUCCGGGCUCCUCGAGGCAGGGUGCCAGGUAAUUCCUGGGAGGCGUGAGCCUACGGAAAGUGCAGCAGAGAGUAGACCGCCGGCUUCGGUCGGUAAGGGUGAAAGGGUGCGGUAAGAGCGCCCCGCGUCGGUGGUAACACGCGACGGCUUGGUAAACCCCACCUGGAGCAAGACCAAAUAGGAAUCCAUGAAGCGUGCCUCGCGCUGGAUUCGGGUAGGUCGCUUGAGGGCUUUGGUGACGGAGCCCCUAGAUGAAUGAUUGUCCACGACAGAACCCGGCUUAUCGGCCGACUCCC
rnacentral:RNase_P_RNA from 1 species